CCCUUAGAUGUCCGGGGCCGCACGCGCGCUACACUGAAGGAAUCAGCGUGGCUUUCUCCCUGACCCGAAAGGGUUGGGAAACCCGUUGAAUCUCCUUCGUGAUAGGGAUUGGGGCUUGAAAUUGUUCCCCAUGAACGAGGAAUUCCCAGUAAGCGCGAGUCAUAAGCUCGCGUUGAUUACGUCCCUGCCCUUUGUACACACCGCCCGUCGCUAAUACCGAUUGAACGGUUUAGUGAGGGCCUCGGAUUGGUCUCGGCCCGCUCUUUACCGGGCGGCGCCGUUGGUCGAGAAGACGCUCGAACUUGAUCGUUUAGAGGAAGUAAAAGUCGUAACA
rnacentral:rRNA from 1 species